UACGAAGGGGGCUAGCGUUGCUCGGAAUCACUGGGCGUAAAGGGUGCGUAGGUGGCGGGGUUAGUCAGGUGUGAAAUCUCGGGGCUCAACCCCGAAACUGCACUUGAUACUGCCUUGCUAGAGUACUGGAGAGGAGAUUGGAAUUUACGGUGUAGCAGUGAAAUGCGUAGAUAUCGUAAGGAAGACCAGUGGCGAAGGCGAAUCUCUGGACAGUUACUGACACUGAGGCACGAAGGCCAGGGGAGCAAACGGG
rnacentral:rRNA from 1 species